rnacentral:rRNA from 1 species
GACGAACGCUGGCGGCGUGCUUAACACAUGCAAGUCGAACGGAAAGGCCCUGCUUUUGUGGGGUGCUCGAGUGGCGAACGGGUGAGUAACCCGGGAGUAACCUGCCCUUGACUUUGGGAUAACUUCAGGAAACUGGUGCUAAUACCGGAUAGGAGCUCCUGCUGCAUGGUGGGGGUUGGAAAGUUUCGGCGGUUGGGGAUGGACUCGCGGCUUAUUAGCUUGUUGGUGGGGUAGUGGCUUACCAAGGCUUUGACGGGUAGCCGGCCUGAGAGGGUGACCGGCCACAUUGGGACUGAGAUACGGCCCAGACUCCUACGGGGGGCAGCAGUGGGGAAUAUUGCACAAUGGGCGGAAGCCUGAUGCAGCAACGCCGCGUGCGGGAUGACGGCCUUCGGGUUGUAAACCGCAUUCGCCUGUGACGAAGCGUGAGUGACGGUAAUGGGUAAAGAAGCACCGGCUAACUACGUG